UACGUAGGGUGCAAGCGUUGUCCGGAAUUAUUGGGCGUAAAGAGCUCGGUAGGCGGUCUGUCGCGUCGGCUGUGAAAACUCGGGGCUCAACUCCGAGCUUGCAGUCGAUACGGGCAGGCUAAGAGUUCGGCAGGGGAGACUGGAAUUCCUGGUGGUAGCGGGUGAAAUGCGCAGAUAAUCAGGAGGAACACCGGUGGCGAAGGCGGGUCUCUGGGCCGAUACUGACACUGAGGAGCGAAAGCGUGGGGAGCGAACAGG
rnacentral:rRNA from 1 species